rnacentral:rRNA from 1 species
AUGACUAGGGAUAACCUUAGGAAGAGACACAUCAUCAAACCCCUUGAUUGUGUUUACUGCGUGGAACAAGAGUCUUGUUCUCACCUAUUUUUUGAAUGUAUAGUUGCUAAACAUCUCUGGGCCCACAUUGAGGAAUAUUUCUCUAGUCAAAUUGGCUCAUCCUUCGAAUCUGUCGCCAGAUUCUGGAUUGCUACCAAAAAUUGCUCAGUUUUAAACACUGUUAGCUCAGCUGUCCUUUGGUGCCUCUGGAAAUAUAGAAAUGCUGUGAUUUUCAGUAACACCUCCUGGAUUUUCAUUCCGCAGGUCUUGAGGUUGAUCAUGAACAUGGUGAGGAACUGGGCGAUUCUCUCCUCUGGAUCGGACAAGGACAAGUUGAUGAGCUUCCUGGAAACCCUAACAUGAUCCCUCCAGAAACCGUUGGUGAUCACUUGUGGCUGA